AUGGUGACUCCAUCACAGAUUCUUGGCCUUCUGCUCCUCUGGGUUCCAGACUCCCAUGGUGAGAUUGUGCUGACCCAGUCUCCUGCCAUCCUGUCCAUGGCUCCAAAAGAAGGAGUCACCAUCACCUGCUGGGCCAGUCAGAACAUUAACAAAUGGUUAGCCUGGUAUCAGCAGGAGCCAGAGAGAGCUCCCAAGCUCCUGAUCUAUGAAGCAUCCAAGUUGGAAACUGGGGUCCCAUCGCAGUUCAGCUGCAGUGGGUCUGGGACAGACAUCACACUCAGCAUCAGCAGCCUGGAGCCUGAAGAUGCUGGGACCUACUACUGCCUGCAGUCUAACAGCUACCCGCCCUCAGUGUUACAGGUCAGAGCAUAA